rnacentral:lncRNA from 1 species
GCGAGCUGGGCUUAGAGGACUCAGUGUAAAGGGAAGGCUUAGGCUCUGACGGUGCUGGAGAGUUAAGAAUGUGCCUUCCCUCCACCCCCACCCCAGGCACCUUAUUUAAAAAAAAACAAAAAACACCUUCUUUUAUUUAAAAAAAAAAAUCUAACCUUGGAAGUUUGCUCGAGUACGGUGUCUGCUGGGUGAGCCUGAGCUGGGGCGCAGCCUGGAUGUCCCAGUCCUUUAGAGGAAUGGCAGCUGCCACAAGAUGUGACCUUGGCAUUUGAGAUCACCAGGGAGUUGGUGUGAGCUCCAGAGACAACACCAGCGUUGGGCACGGUAGAUCCAGGUGCCAGACCUUGCUUUUCCUGCUCUGCAACUUCAAUGGCUCAAAUGCCCAUCGCAGGGUCUUCAAAGUGGUGUAAUGCCAUCUACCCCUCAUAUAUUGUGCCAAGAUAGAAGCACUUUCCUGUGAGAAGUAUCCUUUUAACACACACACACACACACACACACACACACGCACAUGCACACGCACGAGUGCGCACAUUUUCCCAGUGAUGGGGACUAUUGAAUUCAGGGCCUCAUGCCUGCUAGGCAAAUGCUCUGCCACUGAGCUAUACUGCCAGGCCUUUUAAGGACAUUUUAUUUUGAGACAGGAUCUUCCUAAGGUGCCCAGGCUGGUUUUGAAUUUAGGAUCCACUUGCUUUAGCCUCCUGAGUAGCUGAGAUUAUAGGUAUAUGCCACUAGGCUUAACUUCCUUCUUUAUACAGUGGUACCUCAGUUCAUGAACUUAAUUCUUUCCAUGAUUCUGAUUGUAAACUGAAUUGGAUGAGAACCAAAUCAAAUUCAAUGGUUAGGUUUGAUGUCGACCUUAUGGGGAAAUUUAAUUUGGUUCUCAUGCAAUUUGGUUUGCAAUCAGAAUCAUGGAAAGAAUGGUUUGUGAACCGAGGCACCACUGUAUUCUCUUAAAAGUUAAAAUGUAAAUAAAUAAGUAUAAUUUAAUAUAGUAAUUAAAUAUGCACAUAGCAUGUCUGAGUAAGUGUUUACCAGUGUCCUUCCCUUUCAGGCCCCUGCAUUUUAACAUAGACUUGCCAGAGGAAGCUGGCUCAUGUGCAUUUUGUGAAGGAAAGUGAGCAGCAUGGGGUUGUCCACUGGAGACUCCAUAUGGCACACUGCAGUAUGCUCCUGUGUCCAAGGCUGAAACUUAGAACCAUAUCUCAGUUCUGGAUCUGGCAUCCAGGCCCAUCUUGAUCCUGGGUUUAGGAGACAGCCUAUAGCAUGCAGCUCCCUUUGAGACAUGUGACAAGCAUGUGGAUAAAGACCCAGAGUCUUCAAAGCUAAUUUCACCUCUGACAUCUGACCUCUUCAGUCAAUAUCCCUCAGUACUGGGUAUCUCAUAGGUCCCUGUUCCUCCUUCCCUGUGUCCUAUUGUCCUAGUUCAGACCCCACCUCUGUCACUCAUUGCCGGGACCACAGAACCAGUGGGAUCCUAGCCUUCAACUCUUCCUCUUCCCCACCAUUCCCACACUCACUCUAAAUGGGAAGCUGAUAGUUUGCCCCUUGCUGAAAAUUGUGCAGUGGUUUUACGUUGCUCUACAAGAUGAUUCGAUUCAGCAUCUGUCCUUCCAGGGUAUUUCAGUCUGCUUAGGUAGCAUCACACAAUACCUUGGACUAGAUGAUUUACAAUCAGUAAAAAUUUACUGUGCAUGGUUCUGAAGGUGGUGAAGUCCAGGAUCUGGCUCCUGAAAGACUGCAUGACUGGGACAGCAGAGGAAGAGGGAUAAAGUGCCUGGAUAUGUGCAUUCAUCGAGUGUCCUGAAGAUGCUCCUUCUGACUGGAAGAGCUGAAGAGACAAGACUUUUCACUAAGUGAUAUUUUUGAUGCAGUCUAAGGAUUUAUCUCAAAAUCCCAGUCACAUUACUUCCUGAGAACAAAAGGUCUGCUGAAGUUGCCUGAUGAAAAGUCCAGCCUUCCAGAAUCUUCCAUUCUACAAGUGCUACCUACAGUGACUCUGAGAGAUUGAUUAUUUAUUACGGAGAUGGGAAGAAAAGGAAACGACCAGCCCGUCACACGUCCCUGGCCCAGAUCUGCCAGUCUCUCUCUUCCCGGUCUCAGGAAACUGUGCUGACAGUCCUCGAGGUGCGGUGGGGAGGUUCUCUUACAGAGUCCCUCUGGAGGGAGCACAGGCAGAAGGACCCCUGGAGCGAUCUUCCUGGGCUGCCCCAGAAUGCAUUCCUCAAAGUCAGAUGGAAACCAGAGCCCCUGGCAACCACUCACCUGCUUUCUGUCUGUGUGGAUUGACCUGUUCUGGAUAUUUCCUGCAAAAGGAAUGCUGAAUUUUAGUACCGGGCUUCUUUUCCUUCCUGUAAUGUUUUUGGAAUCCAUCCACAUUGUUGAGUGUAUCAGUGUAUCAGUACUUCACUUAUUGUACAGCUGAGUAAUUCCAUGGCACUUGUCCCUGGUUUUGUAAGUAAGGUUUUCCUGGACAAAGCUGUCCCCAUUACUUUACAUACUGUCUACCACUGCUUUUGCAUUUAAUGGCAGACCUGGGUAGUUGUCAAAGAGAACAUGCAGCCUGCAAAGACUUAAGUCUGUACUGUCUAGCCCUUUACUGAGAAGAAUUGCAGAUCUUUGCUAUAGUAAUAAUUUUGGGGAACUUUGUCAUGAUGCUGUGCAUGGAAAUUCUAAAGUUUCAAUAGGAUUUAUUUAUUUUUUAUCAUGAUAUAAUUUUAAGGUUCAGCUGAAGGAAGAAAGGUUACACAACUUUUGGAAAGGGAGAGUUGUUAGAGGUACCUGCCCUCCAGGAUUGUGCAGUACAGCCUGGACUGUCCUGGCUCAAGGAGGUGGAACUCAUGCAGGAGUAGACAGACCAUAGACAGGACUGGGAAGAUAGGGAAGGGACCCAUAACAGAUGUGGAAGAAAUCUGGCCAGACUGGAAGGACGCUGGACAAUUGGGAGUGACACCAGCCAUGUGGAAGAUGGGUUGCUGGAUCUGCCUCUACUCUGAAGUGAAUUCCAGAGGAAUAAAAUACUUCAGUGUGUAACAAAGGAGUUGCACAUACCAGGAGAAAAUAUUGACAUCCAUCUUACUAAUCUUGUAGGAGAAAAAUUCUUUUAAGCUUCACAGAAAAAGGCAAUGCAAAGCAAAAAAUUGAUCAAUGUGGCUUUUCAAUAAAGUGGCCUAAAAUGUAAAACUUGUCCAUGGCAAAAGCACUGUAAGUAAAACUUAUAGGAUGGAACCAGAUUAACCUGGGAAAAGUAUUGUUUUGUUAUAGAUAAAGAGUUACUGAGUCCAAUAAUAUAAUUUAUUUGUCUCUUGCAAAUGAAUGAGAAUCUGAAGAGUGCACAAUAAAUAAGGGAGAAACAUGGUACAAACCGGGACAAAGGCAACUCACCAGCAAGUGCACUAUGGUGGGUGUUCAACCUUGUAAAUAAUUGGUCUAAAUUUUAUUGAUGUAAAUUUACACAUGUCUUUUUUUGUUGUUUGUUUGAGUGACAAGGUGAAAAAAAUUGAGAAACCCCAGUGACAAUAAGGUUGUGGGAAAAGUGGCUUUUAAGACUCGGUUGCAGUAACUCUGUUUGUAGGGAAAUCUGAUUUCAGAUCAUAGUUUGAACUGCACAGGCCUUUUUUUGGUAUCGGGGAUUGAACUUGGACCUUGCACUUGGGAAGCAGAUGCGGAGCCACUGAGCUAAAUCCUUGGCCCUACACAGGCCUUUUGAUCCUGCAUCAUUGUGCCUUGGGCCUUCAUUUUUAGAAACUAAGUUUUCUUUCAGCUGUGAAAAGCUAGAAACUAUCUUGUCUCAAUGUUCAUCAGUAGAUUUGAUAAAAGAAUGUGUUGGACAUCCCUAUAAUGGGUCCCAAGGAGCCACUGAAAAUGAGGCAGAAUUUCCAACAGUCCUAUCUAUUGUAAGUGUCCUCCUUGUUCUUUACCAAUCUUGGGAUUUUGCUUGGCUUCCUCUUUAAUUGAGAAACAUUUUCCCCUGGAUUCAUUAAGGUGCAAACUUAGUGAAAAUGAUGGACAUUUGGAGAUUUUACUUAUUUAUUUUUACUAGCUAAUGAUUUUACAGGUAUUACACUUAACACUAUAGUAAUAAAGACUUCACACAAAUCCAUGCUUCAUAGCCAUGGACUUAAGCUCGUGAGUGUAUGUGUUGUGUGUGCAUGCAUAUGUGCAUCAGCAUGCUUGUGUACCCGUGUGUGUCUGUGUGUGCACAUGUGCACAUGUGUCUGGUUGUUUGUGUGUGAUCCUGGAGUGCCAGCAUCCAGCUGAGUAUGCAGCCAGCUGGAGGACUUGCUCUGGUUCUCUUUUAAGACAGUCUCAGGGGAUUAAUAAAGCAAGUAAGGAUAUAAUCUGUCUCCUCCAGGAGAAGACCUUUCUGCCCGUAGGAUCCCUUGUUUUUUGAAUACAGCAGUGUGGAAUGUGGAUGCCAAGGGAAAAUUUGUUAUUUGGAGACAAACCUUACAGUGUGACUCAACCCUUUGGAAAUCCCUGUGCACCUUUCCCUCUGUUCCUGGUAACUUAUUGGCCUCUUCCACCUCUGGCUUCUAUUGCUCCUGCUGACUGUCCCUGCCUGCCUGCUGCUGCACUUUACCUCCAUCCUCCUUCCAUCCUGAGUCUCUGGCACAGAAGGCAGCAUGUGUCCCCUUCUGUCUCACAGACACAGAAGCUAUUAAAGCAUAGGUUACCUAGAGCAGUGGUUCCCAAACUUUUUCUGAUCACCCUUAUUACUAAAAUAUUUUGGCAUGAACACCCAAGGCAUACAUACCUAUAUAUUGUAUGUUCCCACUAUUGUGUGAAUUUAUUGUAUACAUUAUGCAAUAUAUAAAAAGGUGAAAGUUUAAAAGGAUGAGAUUUUAAAAAAGAUAAAAAUUCGAAUCUUUUCUCCAUGUACUUAACAAAGCUCCUUUGGUGGCUGAUAGACCAGAGAUGGGAAGGACAUUGGAAGGCUCCCUUUAGGGGGCUCAAUGGCACUGCAAACUCUGUCCUCCCCAAGGGCCAGGAUUCCUUCCCCAGCAGUUGGCCCAGGUCCUGCUGUCCACUGUGCACCAUAGGUGUGGCUGCAAAUGACCAGAAGUCUUUUCUGCUGCACUUUCUUUCCUGGCCUCUGCUCAUUCACACACUUCCUGCUACUCUCUGAGUUGCCUUUGGGUCCACUGUCUCCUGGUGAGGACUUGCCUGGCUCACCAAAUCCUAAGUCACACACACAGGUCCAACCCCUGUGUCUCCCGGAUGGGCCGAGGCCACAGCCUCAGCCAUUUUAAACUUGGGGUUCUCCCCACAGCUGUACACACAAUGGCUGCUCAUCACUAAGGACCUUGGUCAUGAACACCUGUUCUGAGGUCUCAUGUAGUUUACCAACUCUUAAAUGGCACAGAGAAGCAAAGAUGCUGCAUACCACAUGUGUGGGAGAGAAAAGUCCAUCCCUGAUGGGUGGCCUCAAGAUACCAGUUACAUGGGGACAGAGAGUUUGCAACCAGUCCAAAGUCUGACACCAAGAGCAGUGCCCGGCCCCGGAACAGUUUUUUUGGAGGAGUGAAUGACUUGGAUCAGUACACUCAGGACCUCUGCCAUGCUUGCUUCCGUGUGGGGUAUGAAGAAACAUUAUAAUGCACAUCAGGGAGAUUUUUCCUCCAAACUGGGAGACAAAAUGUA